rnacentral:rRNA from 1 species
UACAGAGGUCCCGAGCGUUUGUUCGGAUUCACUGGGCGUAAAGGGUGCGUAGGUGGUUGUGCAAGUCUGAUGUGAAAUCUCCGGGCUUAACCCGGAAAUGGCAUUGGAAACUGCAUAGCUAGAGGAUUGGAGGGGGGGACUGGAAUACUUGGUGUAGCAGUGAAAAUGCGUAGAUAUCAAGAGGAACACCAGUGGCGAAGGCGAGUCCCUGGACAACACCUGACACUGAGGCACGAAAGCUAGGGGGAGCAAAACAGG